GAUGAACGCUAGCGGCAGGCUUAAUACAUGCAAGUCGAGGGGCAGCAUGACUGUAGCAAUACAGUUGAUGGCGACCGGCAAACGGGUGCGGAACACGUACAGAACCUUCCUUCGAGCGGGGAAUAGCCCAGAGAAAUUUGGAUUAAUACCCCAUAGUACAACGGAGUGGCAUCACUUUGUUGUUAAAGAUUUAUCACUUGAAGAUGGCUGUGCGGGUGAUUAGGUAGUUGGCGGGGUAACGGCCCACCAAGCCUGCGAUCAGUAACUGGUGUGAAGGAACGACAAGCCAAACGGGCACUGAGACACGGACCCGAAUCCUAGGGGAGGCAGCAGUAAGGAAUAUUGGUCAAUGGACGAAAGUCUGAACCAGCCAUGCCGCGUGGAGGAUGAAGGUCCUCUGGAUGGUAAUCUUCUUUUAUAUGGGGCGAAAAAAGGGUUUUCUAACUCGUCUGACGGUACCAUAUGAAUAAGCACCGGCUAACUCCGUGCCAGCCGCCGCCGUAAAAC
rnacentral:rRNA from 1 species